AAGUCGUAACAAGGUUUCCGUAGGUGAACCUGCGGAAGGAUCAUUAACGAGUUUUGAAAUGGGUUGUAGCUGGCCUUACACGGGCAUGUGCACACCCUGCUCAUCCACUCUCAUACCCCUGUGCACUUAUUGUAGGCUUGGUCGGAUAAGUUAGCCUCGGUUAACUUUGAAAGCCUUGUCUAUGCUUAUUACAAACGCUUCAGUUAAAGAAUGUAAUACUGCGUCUAACGCAUUAAAUACAACUUUCAGCAACGGAUCUCUUGGCUCUC
rnacentral:misc_RNA from 1 species